UCAUGACCUCAAAUCAGGUAGGAAUACCCGCUGAACUUAAGCAUAUCA
rnacentral:rRNA from 2 species